GGAAUCUUCCACAAUGGACGAAAGUCUGAUGGAGCAACGCCGCGUGAGUGAAGAAGGGUUUCGGCUCGUAAAACUCUGUUGUUAAAGAAGAACAUAUCUGAGAGUAACUGUUCAGGUAUUGACGGUAUUUAACCAGAAAGCCACGGCUAACUACGCGCCAG
rnacentral:rRNA from 1 species